GGACCUUCAUCAGCCGGUCCUGUCCAGCGCCAACGCCGAUCUCGGCAUCCGAUAAACCCUUGGACUCCAUCCCCGCGGCUCGGCAGGAGACGCAUAGGCCACGGUGUCCAGGGGUUGCGAUCGGUGGCGAACGGCGAGGCACGGCGAGGCAAGUGACCCGUGGCCGUGGCCGAGGCUUGCCUGGCUGAAUUAAGAGGCUAGCGAGCCGGCAAGCAUCAGCGGCCAUGGAUUCGGUCCGGC
rnacentral:misc_RNA from 1 species